rnacentral:rRNA from 1 species
UGCCAGCCGCCGCGGUAAUACGGAGGGUGCAAGCGUUAUCCGGAAUCAUUGGGUUUAAAGGGUCCGCAGGCGGACGUAUAAGUCAGUGGUGAAAUCCUGCAGCUUAACUGCAGAACUGCCAUUGAUACUGUACGUCUUGAAUUCGGUCGAAGUGGGCGGAAUGUGUAGUGUAGCGGUGAAAUGCAUAGAUAUUACACAGAACACCAGUGGCGAAGGCGGCUCACUGGCUCGAUACUGACGCUGAGGUACGAAAGUGUGGGGAGCAAACAGGAUUAGAUA